rnacentral:misc_RNA from 1 species
AGAAGAGGCGGCGGCGGCGGCCCUCGCCGGCGAUCAAGAAACCCUAAAAUCCUUACCGCAAAACCACGUCACCGAUGAUAAAUUAGAGAAGAAGCACAAGAAGCGGAAGCACAAAGACAAGGAAACCCCCGCCGUCGAAGAUCCCCAAACCCUAGAUUCGCCCUCAUCAAAGAAGAAGAAGAACCUCUCCGAGAUCGAGCUCCUCCCCUGUGACAA